ensembl:lncRNA
GAGGAGAGGGGGGGAGAGAGAGAAAGGGGGUGGAGAGAGGGGAGAAAGAGGGGAAAAGGAGGAGAGAGAAGGGGGUGGAGAGAGAGGAGAAAGAGGAGGAGAGAGAAGGGGGGGGAGAGAGAGGAGAGAGAGGGGAAAGAGGAGGAGAGAGAAGGGGAGAGAAGGGGGUGGAGAGAGAGGAGAAAGAGGAGGAGAGAGAAGGGGGUGGAGAGAGAGGAGAAAGAGGAGGAGAGAGAAGGGGGUGGAGAGAGAGGAGAAAGAGGAGGAGAGAGAAGGGGGUGGAGAGAGAGGAGAAAGAGGAGGAGAGAGAAGGGGAGAGGAGAAAGAGGAGGAGAGAGAAGGGGGGUGGAGAGAGAGGAGAAAGAGGAGAAGAGAGGAGAGAGGGGAGAAAGAUUAGGAGAGAGGGGAGAAAGAGGAGGAGAGAGCGAGUCUCCAGGCAGUUUUUAUUUUUUUAUUUUUUUUAUUUCACCUUUAUUUAACCAGGUAGGCAAGUUGAGAACAAGUUCUCAUUUACAACUGCGACCUGGCCAAGAUAAAGCAAAGCAGUGCGACACAUACAACGACACAGAGUUACACAUGGAGUAAA